CUCCUUUCUUCUGCACAUUUGCUGCUCAUGCUGUGUCAAACCCAAUUAUCAUCAUUAUCUCAGUUCUGUCACACUGUAUAAAUACAUGUCUAAAUAAACCAAACAGCAUGACAAUUUUUGUCAAGGGAAACUACAAGGAAGGAUUUCAUUAGGGCUUUGCAGAGAAUGCCUUGCAGAAACCAGAAGCAAGCUAAGACUUAAGAGUCCAGGUCUUAGUACAGAUUGAAGUAGAGCUAUCUCCUCAAGCAGCACCUCCUAGUAGCAUUGGGUUCUCAGAUGGGCUGGAGGCAGGAUGACAGUGAUCUCACAUCCCAAAAGUAGGAUUCCUGAAUAUGUCAGAGUGAAAGCUCCAACAGAAAAAAAUCAGGCAAAUGGUAUCUUACAGUGACUCCUAAGCCCCAGAAACCCAGGCUUUCAAAGUCUCAGUCUAAAAUCAGGAUAUUAACCCCACAGACAUUGCACACAAAAGAGCUUGGAUGAAGAAACAUGAAGCAUUACUUAAAUGAGCUGCGGGUGAGGGGAUUACUGUUUGUAUGUAAAAGGAAACACAGGAGAGAUAUUUUAACUUACACCUUCCAGCUCCUCACUGUGGCUUGGAUCCAAUGCCUGUAAAAGUCAGUGGAAAGACUCUCAUUGACUUCAUGAGAACUGGAUCAGGUCCCACAUGAGUUACACCUACUUAGGCUCCCUGCCAUAGGUGGAGGUAGUCCUGAAAGAGAGCGCAAGUGAAAGGAGUUUAAUUUACAUGACCUUACAGUUCACUCUCCAUCUACAGCUGCUUUUUUUACUAAAGAGGAAACAUCUCCAGCACUGCAGAAGAGGAAGGCACAGUGUGGUUCAUACAGGUGUUUUUUCUUGUUGCUUGCAAGGGCAAGGCAUACAGGAAGACAGGAGAAAAUGAUGUGAAAGCAAGAAAUGCGUCUGCUGGAUGUCGAUACAGUUUUUUUUUACUUAACUCCAUUGACAACUUCAUGAUAUUGAGGUCACGUAGCAAGAGGAAGAAAGAAAAUCUUGCCUGACCAAAAUUGUAAGAAAUGUGGUGUUUCUCAUGGGAAUUUAGAAAAUAUCUUGUGUAAAAGAGUUUUGGGCAGA
rnacentral:lncRNA from 1 species